GACGAACGCUGGCGGCGUGCUUAACACAUGCAAGUCGAACGCUGAAGCUUGGUGCUUGCACUGGGUGGAUGAGUGGCGAACGGGUGAGUAAUACGUGAGUAACCUGCCCUUGACUCUGGGAUAAGCCUGGGAAACUGGGUCUAAUACUGGAUACGACAUGUCACCGCAUGGUGGUGUGUAGAAAGGGUUUUACUGGUUUUGGAUGGGCUCACGGCCUAUCAGCUUGUUGGUGGGGUAAUGGCUCACCAAGGCGACGACGGGUAGCCGGCCUGAGAGGGUGACCGGCCACACUGGGACUGAGACACGGCCCAGACUCCUACGGGAGGCAGCAGUGGGGAAUAUUGCACAAUGGGCGGAAGCCUGAUGCAGCGACGCCGCGUGAGGGAUGACGGCCUUCGGGUUGUAAACCUCUUUCAGCACGGAAGAAGCGAAAGUGACGGUACGUGCAGAAGAAGCGCCGGCUAACUACGU
rnacentral:rRNA from 1 species